GCUUACGGCCAUACCACUCUGAACACGCCCGAUCUCGUCUGAUCUCGGAAGCUAAGCAGGGUCGGGCCUGGUUAGUACUUGGAUGGGAGACCGCCUGGGAAUACCAGGUGUUGUAAGCU
rnacentral:rRNA from 1 species